rnacentral:rRNA from 1 species
AUACGAAAGGUGCAAGCGUUGUUCGGAUUUACUGGGCGUAAAGAGAGUGUAGGUGGUUUAUUAAGUCGGAUGUGAAAUCCCGGGGCUCAACCUCGGAACUGCAUUCGAUACUGAUAGGCUAGAGUUUGGGAGGGGUAAGCGGAAUUCCGUGUGUAGCAGUGAAAUGCGUAGAUAUACGGAGGAACGCCUGAGGCGAAGGCGGCUUACUGGACCAAUACUGACACUGAGACUCGAAAGCGUGGGUAGCAAACAGGAUUAGAAACCCUAGUAGUCC